rnacentral:rRNA from 1 species
ACGGCUCAGUAACACGUGGACAACCUACCCUUGAGACAGGUAUAAACCCGGGAAACUGGGUAUAAUCCCUGAUAGAUCUCGGUCGCUGGAAUGCCCCGAGAUCCAAAGCUCCGGCGCUCAAGGAUGGGUCUGCGGCCUAUCAGGUAGUAGUGGGUGUAGCGUACCUACUAGCCUACGACGGGUACGGGUUGUGAGAGCAAGAGCCCGGAGAUGGAUUCUGAGACACGAAUCCAGGCCCUACGGGGUGCAGCAGGCGCGAAAACUUUACAAUGCCGGCAACGGCGAUAAGGGAACCUCGAGUGCCAGGUUACAAAUCUGGCUGUCGUGAUGCCUAAAAAGCAUUGCAUAGCAAGGGCCGGGCAAGACCGGUGCCAGCCGCCGCGGUAACACCGGCGGCUCGAGUGGUAACCGUUAUUAUUGGGUCUAAAGGGUCUGUAGCCGGCCGGAUAAGUCUCUUGGGAAAUCCAGCAGCUCAACUGUUGGGCUUUCAGGAGAUACUGUUCGGCUCGAGGCCGGGAGAGGUGAGAGGUACUUCAGGGGUAGGGGUGAAAUCUUGUAAUCCUUGAAGGACCACCAGUGGCGAAGGCGUCUCACCAGAACGGACCUGACGGCAAGGGACGAAAGCUAGGGGCACGAACCGGAUUAGAUACCCGGGUAGUCCUAGCCGUAAACGAUACUCGCUAGGUGUCGGCCACGGUGCGACCGUGGUCGGUGCCGUAGGGAAGCCGUGAAGCGAGCCACCUGGGAAGUACGGCCGCAAGGCUGAAACUUAAAGGAAUUGGCGGGGGAGCACCACAACGGGUGGAGCUUGCGGUUUAAUUGGAUUCAACGCCGGG